rnacentral:rRNA from 1 species
AGUGAACGCUGGCGGUAGGCCUAACACAUGCAAGUCGAACGGCAGCACAGUAAGAGCUUGCUCUUACGGGUGGCGAGUGGCGGACGGGUGAGGAAUGCAUCGGAAUCUACUUUUUCGUGGGGGAUAACGUAGGGAAACUUACGCUAAUACCGCAUACGACCUACGGGUGAAAGCAGGGGAUCUUCGGACCUUGCGCGAUUGAAUGAGCCGAUGUCGGAUUAGCUAGUUGGCGGGGUAAAGGCCCACCAAGGCGACGAUCCGUAGCUGGUCUGAGAGGACGAUCAGCCACACUGGAACUGAGACACGGUCCAGACUCCUACGGGAGGCAGCAGUGGGGAAUAUUGGACAAUGGGCGCAAGCCUGAUCCAGCCAUACCGCGUGGGUGAAGAAGGCCUUCGGGUUGUAAAGCCCUUUUGUUGGGAAAGAAAAGCAGCAGGUUAAUACCCCGCUGUUCUGACGGUACCCAAAGAAUAAGCACCGGCUAACUUCGUG